GGCCAGUGUGGUGUAGUGGUUAAGAGCGGUAGACUCAUAAUCUGGUGGACUGGGUUCGAUUCCCUGCUCCUCCA
rnacentral:tRNA from 1 species